AGCCCUCUUCUGCCAAGAGCUGAGACCUCCUGGUGCCCACGGUCAUGUGCAGUUUGGUUGCAGGUUUCAGAUUUCCAACUCCUUUGGAAAACGAGGCAGUGCUGCUAAAGUGGAGCAGCAUUCCCGCUUGGCAGUGACCGCCGGCCCCAGCGAGGGGCCUCCUCAGCCCCCACCCAUGGGAUCUACUCCUUCCUGUGACCUGGUCCCUGGAGAUUGGAGUUUACAACUCUGUGCCCUCCAAGUUCAGUUGACACUAACAAUCUUCCCAAACUGCUCAGGGCCCACAGGGAAAUGAUGAAGAGCUUGGGUCUACUCACCAAACUUGGCAGGCGGCAGGAGAAUGUAUUGUAAUAAAAUGUGUUUGUCUCUCUA